UUAUAGACGUCUGCUUCUGGCCAAUGUGAAGAUAGGAUAAUUGGCUAUGACAGACCCUGAAUGCAUGAAGCUUUUAAAUGUUCAUAUCACCUAAAGAGAGGAGUCAUUGCACAAAGACCCAUAAGUGUGCUGAGGCUUUACUUUGAGUUUUCCCUGUGAUUAAUCCUUUGUUCCCAGAAUAAUCUUCAGGAUCUCUCUGUAAAAUAGCAUACCUUAAAUUCUGAGAUUUUACUGACAUAUUUUCUCCAGAGUGUGUGGCAAAAAUUGGAAUGAUUUGGCUCUGUGGAGGGAUCACAUCCCAGGCUAUAGUAGAUUAUCAACAAAUUGUAAGAAGGACCCUUAAGAGGAUAGCAUAUCAUGACUCUUCCAAAGCAGUCUCCGGGCACACAAAUGGAUUGCAAGCGUAAGGGCUCUGGAAUGGAAUGGAACAUGGGUCAGACCAGAUGGGAAAACACAGGUCCUUCCAAGCAAAAAGUUUGUAGAAGGUGGUCCCAAGGUAUGGUACUUUGAUAAACAACAGCCUAUGCAGACUUGGACUCCACCACAUGCUUGUACGGAUGCUGGGAGUCCAUGGUGGAGUUGCAUUCUCUGGAAAAGAUCCCUUCCAAGUUGAUAGUUCUGCAGCAUAUGCAGCCUGCUGGAUUGCAAAAUCUCUGGACAAAGCUGGUCUCUGUUGAAGAGUAUUAACCCAGAUAAGAGCAACUGUAAAAGCAAUACACCAAAAUUCUGAAACACAAAUUCUGUCUCAGAGU
rnacentral:lncRNA from 1 species